rnacentral:misc_RNA from 1 species
GCUAACCUGACAGUUGAGGGGGGAGAUCAUGCUGAGAACAAAGGCAAAGAUCACUCUGCUGUUGAUGACCCUGAAAUGAACAGCUUGCCUGUUAAUACUGGUCGUCGUUGUGUAAGUUGAUGAAGUAAAUGGCGACUUGGCCAUGCCAGAGAACCAUUUAUCAGAAAUUGAGACAGGUGAAACCAGAAAUCAAUCAAAUGUUGCUGGUGAUCUGAACAAAGAUCUAU